UAAUUAAAUUAAAUUUGUACUAAUAAAGGGUGAAAUUAGUUUUUGGUGAGCAAAGGUAGUUUGUUUUUAAUGAGAUUGAGGUUGUUAAGAUUAAGGUAUGGACCAGGAUUAGAUACCCUGUUACACUUUAUUUUAAAGUAAUGUUACCUGGGUAGUAAGCAGUUAUUGUCUUGAAACUCAAAGGAUUUGGCGGUAACUUAGUCUAGUUAGAGGAACCUGUCCUGUAAUCGAUAGUCCACGAAGUAUCUUACUUUACCUUGUGAGAGACAGUUUGUAUACCGUCAUUAUUAGAUAACUUUAAAAAGAUUUUUAGUUGUUGAAAUAGUUUUAAACUAGUAUAUUAGAUCAAGGUGCAGCUUAUGGUAAAGAAGAGAUGGGU
rnacentral:rRNA from 1 species